AACGAACGCUGGCGGCGUGCCUAACACAUGCAAGUCGAGCGCGAAAGGAGCAAUCCGAGUAGAGCGGCGCACGGGUGCGUAACACGUGGAUAAUCUGCCUCAGGGUUGAGGAUAACCUUCCGAAAGGUUGGCUAAUACUCGGUAAGCUUACGAUGUCUUCGGACGUUGUGAGAAAAGUAGACCUCUAUUUAUAAGUUUACGCCCAGAGAUGAGUCCGCGGCCCAUCAGCUAGUUGGCGGGGUAACAGCCCACCAAGGCUACGACGGGUAGCUGGUCUGAGAGGACGAUCAGCCACACUGGAACUGAGACACGGUCCAGACUCCUACGGGAGGCAGCAGUGGGGAAUUUUCCACAAUGGGCGAAAGCCUGAUGGAGCAACGCCGCGUGUGUGAUGAAGGUCUUCGGAUCGUAAAGCACUUUCGAUCGGGACGAAAAACUUACUGGCUAACAUCCAGGGCCUGACGGUACCGAGAGAAGAAGCACCGGCUAACU
rnacentral:rRNA from 1 species